AUGGAGGAAAUAAGUAAUAAUGUUUACAAAAGCAUUAAGCACAAAGUUGUUGCUGCUGAGGAAGAGAGGUUUUCUACUGCAUUUUUCUUUUGCCCCUUCAAUGAUGCAGUUAUACAAAGUGAAAACAAGCCAGCUCUCUAUAAGAGGUUCACUUUGAGAGAGUAUAGACAACAGACUCUGCAAGAUGUCAAUCAAACAGGUGAUAAAGUUGGCCUCUCUAGAUUUCUUCUAUAG